AUGGACCCGAGGGGGAGGUGUCAGACCAGGCCCUGAAUGCCAGGCUGAGAGGGGUGGGGCUGUCUCUCCUUGGUUGGGAGGCCAGCAGGAGAGGGCCCUGGGGGCCUUUAGAAUAACUCCCUCCAACCUCCGUAUGCACAAAGGGGGUCAUCUUAGACACGAUGGGGGGAGAAUGACUCCCCUCCCCAGACCAGGGCGGUGGAGGGGCGGUGUUUGUUCCUGAGCCCGGCUGGGGUCUCCUCUCGACUUGUCGUGAUGGAUCUUUUUUCCUGGAAGUUUUCACUCAGUCCCCUUCGCUCCCACCAGACCGUGAGCUCCGGGGUCGGCCCAGUGGUCCCAGCACCCAGCCUGGCGCAUAGGAGGGACGUAGUAACUGGGUGAACGGAUGGAUGGAUGGACGGAUGGAUGGACGGACGGACCUCCCUACCUUUCUUCUUCUUGUCGCCAGGAGAGAAAGGAAGGAAAUUUCAAACAACUCUGAGCCGUAGCUCAGCCUGGAGCUGCGGCAACCCCAGCCUCCCUGGCGGGGAGCAUCGACCCAUGGCGGGCGGGCGGGUGCGGCUGCUUUGUGGAGGUGGAGGGCGCUGGGGGACCUGCGCCAACCUGCUUCACGGCGUCCAGACCCCCCUCCACCUCCACCCCGCUCCCGGCAGCUCUGCAGAGCCCGGGUGUCAGCAGCCAGUGGGGGGCUGCGCAGGGAAGGGGUUGGGGGGGGUGGAGCUGUGCAGCCUCUGCAGCAGCCGGCACGGAGAGGCCCUCUUGACGCACAAAAGCAGGAAAGGCACAUUAAGCCCAUUAUCAAUAUUUUGCCUGGAAAAAAUACAAAAAGCAUUUUCGCCUCUGAAAAAUUAAUAACCUGGAAGGGGGGGAGGCUGGGGGUGAUGUCUGGCAAGUGGGGGGCGGGGGAGGCUCCUCUGCCCCCAGUGGGUGCCUGGGUCCCUCUGAGAAAGCCGCCCCAGCCCACCUGACUCGCUUCGCGCCUCCGC
rnacentral:lncRNA from 1 species